UGCUUCGUGGCGCAAUUGGUUAGCGCGUCUGACUGUUAAGCUUGAGACAAGUGGCAAAUCAGGAGGCUGUGAGUUCGAGCCUCACCGAAGCAG